rnacentral:rRNA from 1 species
UACAGAGGGGGCAAGCGUUGUUUCGGAAUUACUGGGCGUAAAGGGCGCGUAGGCGGCCUGCUAAGUCGAACGUGAAAUCCCCGGGCUCAACCCGGGAACUGCGUCCGAUACUGGCAGGCUUGAAUUCGGGAGAGGGAUGCGGAAUUCCAGGUGUAGCGGUGAAAUGCGUAGAUAUCUGGAGGAACACCGGUGGCGAAGGCGGCAUCCUGGACCGAAAUUGACGCUGAGGCGCGAAAAGCCAGGGGGAGCAAACGGG